UCCGGUGGUCAUAGCGGAGGGGUCACACCCGGAUCCAUGCCGAACCCGGCAGUUAAGCCCUUCAGCGCCGAUGGUACUGCGGAGGCUAUUCGUGGGAGAGUAGGACGCUGCCGGAA
rnacentral:rRNA from 1 species